GCACAUUUUGGUGUUGGUGCGGGGGCCGCUCUGCAUCCUGCAGCAGCUUUCCCUGCUGAUGCAUAUGGGAUUUCUGAUCGCCCUAAGAAGGCUGCUGUUCCAAACUGGCUUAGAGAGGAAAUAAUAAAGAAGAAAGCUGUCAUUACAACUUCAACUGCAGAGCUUCCAAAGGAGGAUUCUCAAUCUAUUGAAGAUGAAGGUGUCAAUAAAUCUUAUCGGAAAGGUGACCAGGCUGAUAGCAAAAGCAUU
rnacentral:misc_RNA from 1 species